UCCAGCACAGCAGGCCGGGCAGGCCGAGCUGGGGGUGCAGGGACUGUGGCCUCCUGGUCCCUGCUCCCGUGUGCCCAGCAGAGCGCAGAAAUUGCCUGUUACCUCGGGUCCAUUUGUCAUGCACUCCUAAAUUGCUUUGUAUUGACACGCUGUCAGAAAUGGAUUGUCACAUUAACCCAGCCACAGCCGGGCUUGCAGGCCCGUGCUGUUGGACCGAUCUCCCUACAGGUGGAGGCGGGCUGGCUUCCUCUUGGGUUUGUGGAGAUGUUUUCCAGCACUUUCUAAUUAUGAUUCCGAUGAGCCAGUGAAAGCUACAGCACCAGUCCCUGGCAGAAGAGGAGUGUUGGAGCUGAGCUUUUCCCCUCACAGACACAACCCUCCAAUCAUACUGCAGAGAUGUUUCCUGGGCAGGUCCCUGCUGUGUGAUCUUUCAUUUGGAGUUCACCUCUACAGUUUAUGGCGGUUUCCAGGAUAACGUUCCAGCUGGAGAGCCUCUCGACUCCAUCUUGUGCUGGCUUUUCUCCUUUUAAAGGACACUUCUCAUCUUUCAAAAAAAACCCCAACAGGAUGCUAAAGGAAUCACUUCCCAUGUUGUGGAGGAAGAUCCCCCACCUGCUGCCUGGAGAUACCCUGAACAUGUGAGCAGUGUCUGGAGGAUUGCUCUGAUUGUUGUGAUGAUUGCCUCAAUCCAUAAGAAUUUAAAGAAAAAUACCUUUUGAUUAGUCAGCCCAGCCUCACACAAGAAAACCAGGCAUCCCCAGUCAGCCAGAUCAUUUCCAUUCACAGUGAGAGGAAACUAAAUAAUUCAGUGCCAGACAGCAGCAUCGAUGCAGCUGGAGGCUUAUAAUCUGCAGUGUACCAAAACAAUAAAUGCCCAUCGAGUAAACUCUUUUGCCUCUGUAUCAGAGUGCAAAUCCAAGCUGGAUCCCUGGAACUGUUGAUACCUAGAGGCCCCUACCUCACUUCCAUUGGGGAUGUAGAUGGAAGUCUGUUUCCUGGAUGGCAUGCAUUGUGUCUUUCUAAUUCUUCUCUCCUGUGGCUGUGGCUGGGCUUUCACUCAACUUACAGCAUGACCCCCAGCACAAAGGAUGGCCAGAAACAUGGUGGCCACAGCACCUAGAAGCCUGGAGCCUUCCUGCACCCACUCCUCACUUUGCAGAGAUGUAGUUCAGAGUGAUUGGAGAUGAUCAUGGAUAUUCACUGACCUGCAAGAGCAAGCUGGGGAAGCCUCUAGCAAGUUUGCAGCUGUUCCCAUCUGAAUGACCAUCAUCUGGCCUAAACAGGGCCAUUUUCUUCAAGACAGUCAUCUGUGUAUCCCAUUCAGCUCUGUACACAGUUAGAAGCACAUGGGCUUCUGUUCGUCCGGUCUUUGUGCUGAACUGCAGCUCUGCUGUGGGCUUUUUUCUAUGCAUCAUUUAAAAUAGCACAGAGUUAAACAUCUAUUUUAAAAUAGCUUUGUUAAAAAAAGAAAAGCUUACUCCCCAUGGCAAUCAAAGGAAGAAAGAAUAACCUCCCCACAGCACCCGCCAAGUUUCA